AGAGUUUGAUCCUGGCUCAGAUUGAACGCUGGCGGCAGGCCUAACACAUGCAAGUCGAGCGGAUGAAGGGAGCUUGCUCCUGGAUUCAGCGGCGGACGGGUGAGUAAUGCCUAGGAAUCUGCCUGGUAGUGGGGGAUAACGUCCGGAAACGGGCGCUAAUACCGCAUACGUCCUGAGGGAGAAAGUGGGGGAUCUUCGGACCUCACGCUAUCAGAUGAGCCUAGGUCGGAUUAGCUAGUUGGUGGGGUAAAGGCCUACCAAGGCGACGAUCCGUAACUGGUCUGAGAGGAUGAUCAGUCACACUGGAACUGAGACACGGUCCAGACUCCUACGGGAGGCAGCAGUGGGGAAUAUUGGACAAUGGGCGAAAGCCUGAUCCAGCCAUGCCGCGUGUGUGAAGAAGGUCUUCGGAUUGUAAAGCACUUUAAGUUGGGAGGAAGGGCAGUAAGUUAAUACCUUGCUGUUUUGACGUUACCAACAGAAUAAGCACCGGCUAACUUCGUGCCAGCAGCCGCGGUAAUACGAAGGGUGCAAGCGUUAAUCGGAAUUACUGGGCGUAAAGCGCGCGUAGGUGGUUCAGCAAGUUGGAUGUGAAAUCCCCGGGCUCAACCUGGGAACUGCAUCCAAAACUACUGAGCUAGAGUACGGUAGAGGGUGGUGGAAUUUCCUGUGUAGCGGUGAAAUGCGUAGAUAUAGGAAGGAACACCAGUGGCGAAGGCGACCACCUGGACUGAUACUGACACUGAGGUGCGAAAGCGUGGGGAGCAAACAAGAUUAGAUACCCUGGUAGUCCACGCCGUAAACGAUGUCGACUAGCCGUUGGGAUCCUUGAGAUCUUAGUGGCGCAGCUAACGCGAUAAGUCGACCGCCUGGGGAGUACGGCCGCAAGGUUAAAACUCAAAUGAAUUGACGGGGGCCCGCACAACCGGUGGAGCAUGUGGUUUAAUUCGAAGCAACGCGAAGAACCUUACCUGGCCCCGACAUGCUGAGAACUUUCCAGAGAUGGAUUGGUGCCUUCGGGAACUCAGACACAGGUGCUGCAUGGCUGUCGUCAGCUCGUGUCGUGAGAUGUUGGGUUAAGUCCCGUAACGAGCGCAACCCCCGUCCUUAGUUACCAGCACCUCGGGUGGGCACUCUAAGGAGACUGCCGGUGACAAACCGGAGGAAGGUGGGGAGGACGUCAAGUCAUCAUGGCCCCUCCGGCCAGGGCUACACACGUGCUACAAUGGUCGGUACAAAGGGUUGCCAAGCCGCGAGGUGGAGCUAAUCCCAUAAAACCGAUCGUAGUCCGGAUCGCAGUCUGCAACUCGACUGCGUGAAGUCGGAAUCGCUAGUAAUCGUGAAUCAGA
rnacentral:rRNA from 1 species